AAUAAAAUAAAAUAAAAUAAAUCCUAGAAUUCCUGAUGAAGAGUAAUGGAAAAUCAGCUUCGUUUGAGAGGACUUUUUUUUUAUCCCAUCAAGUUCUCAUAGAAUCCCAAGGUUCUGUGGAACAUAGUUUGAAAAACCCUAAUGUAAAUAGCUGAAACCCACCUAGUCAGAUAAUAGGAAAACUGUUAAAAAGAAAUUAACCAAGGCAGAAUUGGUGGCACUAAGGGCCAUUAGGGAGGUCAGCUUAGACCUAGACAAAGUCUCAUUUGAUGGCUAGGCCCAGGGCCUCAUAGAUAAAUUCUUCUUCCUUCUGGACAAGGCUAUCAUGACCUUUCCCAAGAAGCUGGUUUUCCCUCAUCUCCCAUGGUGUGUGAAUGUGGAGACAAUUGCUUAGAAGGGAAAAAGAGGAAUAGGAAAAAAUGGAGUAAGAAGGGACCAGAAAGGCUUACUCACAGGCAUUCAAGCUGGAGGCCCAGAUAAUUUAUUCAAGGAGUUAAUGGGUGAUUAGAUGAGCUAGAAUGGCUAUUUUGUGUGUGUGUGUGUGUGUGUGUGUGAGAGAGAGAGAGAGAGAGAGAGAGAGAGAGAGAGGCCUUUCCUGGUUUUCCUAUCAUUUUUAAUUUCAUUUCAUCCCCACCAUUUCAAUUCCAUACGCUUGCAUGGCUACAUAGCUACCUCUUGUGUUCCAGUAACAUAAUUUCUCAGUACAGUGUUCCCCACAUAUGAGGCAGAAUAGUUAUAUAGCUACCUCUUCAGUUUCAGAAUCAUCACAGUGUUUCUGAACUUUGCAGAAAGAUCUCAAGUACCUUCCUUUCUAUUUUCCCAGAGCUGGGAUGAAGGAAAAAAUCCUGGGUGGAAUUCCCCAGGUAGAUAAACAAGUUGGUUUCAGGGAGUGCAGCCUGACUGAAGGCAGUCUGUGAUAAUUCUCUUUUAUGGGGGAAUCCUGGGAAGAAGGAUUCUGACAGAAAGGUGUAAACUCUCUUCUCCUGACCUGGAUUGUAACCACAUGGCCAACCAUUAAAAGCUUUCUCUGGGCUAUUUAAGCAGAACAAAGCAAGGCAAGAACUUCCUGACAUAGGUGUUGAAAACUACACACUGUGUAUAGUCUUCCUCCUCCUGUUCCAUGUAGUUCCACCAGGCUGAAGCCUGUGGUCUGCAUUAGUCAUGAAAAGAGUUGAGCAUGAGGAGGCAUUAUUUGCAGUUCAUGGUGCCCUAGACUGGAAAUGUUGGGCACUAUUCAGUAUCUGUUCCCUUGGAGCCCUAUGACAAGCGUUUAUCUCCAUCUUCAGAUUCCCACACCCCCAAGAGUGGUUUCAAAGUUGAGCUGCUAGUGCAAGAGUAUAGGUUUGCAGCUUCCCCAUGGAGGAAAAAAAGUAGUCCUUGCACUGCACUUAGAUGUAAGCGCAUACCAAAUUAAAAGAUUCAAUAUUAAAUAGGGUAGAUGCAAAGCAUGGGAAGCCUAACCACAAAACAGCGCCCUACAUAUAAAUGCAUUCUUGCAUGAGAUUUUGAUUCCAACCAAAAGGACGGUUUUCAUAUUUCAACCUGUGGGAUGCAAUGUUGCACACAGGAUCCAUCGAAGACUUAGUUGGUGCUUUGUGCAAGCGUGGAAUCAUUGCCUGCUGAAUACAGAUGGAUGGAGAUUGGCAGAAAAAGGAAAGAAGGAAAAGGAAAAGAAAGUAAUUUUCCACAGGCCCAAGCAGCCACUCCCUUGCAUUGUUUCAGCCUUGCACAAAGCAGGAAAGACCAUUAAAGGGAGCCAGAGCAGUCCAGCACCAUUGCACUAAACCCCUGACGUAGCAGCAACUCCUGCUCCAACCUGUUCCUUACAUUUAAAUACAGGCAGUCCUCAGGUUACGCAAGAUGCGACUCAUUAAUUUGACUAUAACAAGGAGUGCAAAAGAUGGCAGCGACCACAUUUGUGCAUGCGGAAAAAAGCCGGUCACCAUUUUGCAUACAGGGUGUGGUGACUGCUACACAACAGUGAUAAUUGUGUUACAAGAGUGACGACUGUGCUACACAGAAGUUGACUUGUGAAAGGGGUCCAGGAAUGGAGUGGUACUAUAAACUGGGACUGUCUGUAGUAACUAGAAGUCUCCAUCAUGUGGAGUUGAAUCCUGGUGAUUUGCUUGGCAAUGAUACCUCCCCCCCGCACAAUAAUAUUUUUUUAAACAUUUUGCAUGUCAAACUGUAUCUCUGCUCUUUUGGGAGAGGAUUGCAGAAUGGUGAUAGAGGAGGCUGACUGGGAAGCAGAAGAGAGGAGACCUGCUUGCACCAGUGUGAAACACCAAACAAACACCUCUGAUCACACCCACUACUAGUUCACCUCUACACCUAACAGACUUAACCCCGCCUUGAGAUGAUGUCCUUGGAUGAUAUCCUGUUGGAGGAGCCCCAGAUUGUGCCCCGUUUGUUGGAACAACUUCAGGGAGACAUGCCUGCUAGCGAGCAAGGGGCAUUGUUCCAAAGUCUUCCCUGAGAAACUCUACAAGCAGGAGCUUGCUGAGCCUGAAGUGGAAAGGAUCAAAACGAAGGAGCCAUUGUGGCUAGGCCUGCGAGAAAGAGGCAGACAAGAAGUGGUGAGAAGCAGCCAGGAGCCACCGUGUGAAUUUUCUGCCCAAGGUUUGCAGGGCUGGCAGACUCUCUGGCAGCUUGGUUUGCUCAAGCAAGGAACCAGUGGCUUAACUUUCUCUGUCUAAAAGUCUUUUCUCAUGAUUUUGCAUCACAGACUCACUGGGAGCGGCAGGGAGGCCCUGCCUUUUUACUGGCAGGCUCCUCUUCAGAUCCCAUAGUGUAGGGGUGGGGAACCUGGGGGGCCUUCUUGUGUGGGUGAACUACAGCCUCAGCAAAUCUAGCCAGCAUGGACAGUGGUGAGGGAUGCUGGGAGUCGUAGUUCAGUCACACACUGCCUUUGGCAGAUAGAACCAAGGAGUAACUGCCUAAAUUUAGGGAACACACCUAGACCAAGCAAAGUUGUGCUUCCAUGUCCCUUUGGGAAUUCACUUGCUAAUUGCUGGUUAUUUUACCUAUGAAAUAAAUGUUAAGGAAAACGGAAUGAAGAGGAGCAGCUGUUGAAAGUCCAAGUGGGAGACUGUCACAUCUCCCAGUUCCAAAAUGGAUGAGAGCUGCUUUAAUUUUUGUCCCUUAAAUUUCCCAGUUUCUUCUGCUCUGUCGAGAAACAAAUGAAAAAAGCAAACAAGUUCAAGCACCAAAUAAAACUAUAUAGUGAAUUUUACUGUAUAUGGACCAGCUAGAAUCGAGGAAACAGUUCUGGGAGAGGAAGAAUCAAAAUGGCAGCUGGACUGUUUGUCCAAGGGCCACACCCUAAAUUUGCCUUUGACCAUGUUGGUUGAGGCUACAGGAGUUGAAGUUUGGGUGGGUUGACACAAACCGUAUGGAAAAAAGACUGGGCUUGUUCCUGUGAUUCAUGGGCUUCCUUCUAGAUUAUCAGUAUAUUCAGCCUCAAUAACCCUGGAAAAAAAAACUCCAUUCUUUAGUCAUCACAACAAGGACUUAAGAAUAAUAUUAUGUCAACGUUAUUCAUAAGGUAAUCAUUAAUUAUAAAUACAACUCAUUUGAGUAAUUCCUUUGGUGAAUUUAGGAAAGUACCAGAUGGGAAGGAUUUUGCUGCUAUAACAGCUGUUUUGCAAAUGCUUCAUGUUGAUAUAAUUUUCUACCUUCAUGGAUCUCUUUUGGAUAAACUGUAAUGCUCAACUAGCUUCUAGAGCAGUGUUUCUCAACCGUGGCAACUUAAAGAAGUGUGGACUUCAACUCCCAGAAUUCCCCAGCCAGCAUGCUGGCUGAGGAAUUCUGGGAGUUGACAUGUUCAAGCCGCCAAGGUUGAGAUACAGUGUUCUAGACUCUGGACAAGGUUGUAGGAAAAUGGCACAAUGAGAAAAAAAAUCAUUCACUGAAUCAGAAGGUUUCUUCCCAAAUAGGCUACCUGGAAAUUUUGGAUUUCAAUUUCCAUAGUCCCCUGGCUGCAGAUUAUAGGAAUUGGUCCAGCACAUCUACUAGAUGCUAGGUUGGGAAAGGCUGGAAAAGCAGAUAAAAGUGCGUGGCUUAUUCUGAUCAGUAGGUGUCACUAUAUCUACACCAACAGUCAAGAUUGUCUUCUAGUGGCCAGGAGCUUAGGCCCAAAGAACAAUUUGUUAGCAGAUUUGGGAGAAAUGGAGGGCUCACUCAUGCACUUCCUACAACUUAAUGACUCAGUAUUCACUCACAGCUGAACAUGCAUGAACAGAUUCCACUGAAUUUAGUGUGACUAAAUUUGUUCUGAAAACGUAUUGCAUAUAUAUGUCACUGUUGACUGGAUAAGGGAUGAAUCAGUGAAGAAAGCUGUAGUAUUUCUAGCCUCUACAAUCUAGUCUCACAUUCUCAUCACAUGACUGCUUUAACUUAUCUUGUAUAAAUAACACAAGGUAUCUAAACAUGUUAAAAGAUAUUGAUUCAUACAAUUGCUCAGAGGGCACAGUAGAGGAAACAAAUAGUUAAAUCAUAGCUCACUGAUCUCUUUGAAGAACUGAUAGCUUUAACUGAUACCAAAGAUUUACAGGUCAGAGGACCAGAAAAAGUUUUUAGGUUUAUUCUUCUUCCUGAAGAAAGUUUGCUACAGAGGAGUUACACAAACACUGUAAGUACAGGCACCCUUAGUGGCAGUCAUUAGUCUGGUUAAAUUGUUGUGGUUUUGAUAUGGGCAAUAACCUCUCAGAGCAAAACAUAGCUUUAGAAUCAACUAGAGUAGGAAGCAAGCCUCUCCAGAGCUCUCCAAGUCUAACAGACUAAAAAAAUUAUCUUUAGGGCUCCCCCAGAGCCAUCAGUGGCUGUAGGUCCCUGAAAUCUUGCUGGAUAUCUGUGCACAAAGGUACAUCAGUUUCUGUGUCCUCAAAGCUGUUAUUGUUGGUCGUGCAGUCAGCCAGAUGUUUAGACUGGAUUUAGCAUUUUUAUCUACCUAUCGAGUAGGUAGAGAUA